rnacentral:rRNA from 1 species
GAUGAACGCUGGCGGCGUGCCUAAUACAUGCAAGUCGAGCGAACAGAUGAGGAGCUUGCUCCUCUGACGUUAUCGGCGGACGGGUGAGUAACACGUGGAUAACCUACCUAUAAGACUGUGAUAACUUCGGGAAACCGGAGCUAAUACCGGAUAAUAUAUUGAACCACAUGGUUCAAUAGUGAAAGACGGUUUUGCUGUCACUUAUAGAUGGAUCCGCGCCGCAUUAGCUAGUUGGUAGGGUAACGGAUUACCAAGGCAACGAUGGGUAGCCGACCUGAGAGGGAGAACGCCCAGACUGGAACUGAGACACGGUCCAGACUCUUACGGGAGGCAGCAGUAGGGAAUCUUCCGCGAUGGGGGAGAGCCUGAUGGAGGAAAGCCGCGUGAGUGAUGAAGGUCUUCGGAUCGGAAAGCGCUGUUAGUAGGGAAGAACAAAUGUGCAAGUAACUAUGCACGUAAUGACGGUACCUGAUCAGAAAGCCCCGGCUAACUACGUG